rnacentral:rRNA from 1 species
GCAAGUCGAGCGCGAAAGUUCCUUCGGGGACGAGUAGAGCGGCGAAAGGGUGAGUAAUGCUUGGGUAAUUUACCCCUUGGACUGGGAUAGCCACUGGAAACGUGGGUACUACCGGAUGGUCUCGAUGAUGUUGCGACAUUCACGAGUAAAGCGGGCUUCGGCUCGCACCAGGGGAGAGGCCCGAGUCCUACCAGCUUGUUGGUGAGGUAAUGGCUCACCAAGGCGAAGACGGGUAGCCGGACUGAGAGGUUGGUC